rnacentral:misc_RNA from 1 species
CAGAGUUGAGAGACUCCAAACCAUCGCGAACCUACCACUACGUUGCCUCGGCGGGCAGCUCCAGGGCGGAGCCGCCAGCCCCCCUCGGGGGGGUGCCCGCCGAAGGGCCCCAAACCAUGUCGUAUCUAGGCUGCUCUAAGUACCUGCGAACGCAGUUA